UACCCUGUUCUCAAACCAGCUAGCACUGAUUUUUGAUUCAGUAGUUACACAAAACGGGCUUAUAACUCUGAUCUGGGAGCAGAAGUGAUAGUAAACAGUCUGGGCUUCACGUUCACAUUUGACCACUGCUAGUGAACUGAAAGCUGUCCCACGUGGUUUUGUUUGUUGUUGAAAAAUGAAUAUAGUGUAUUGGAUGUGGCUGAGGUCGGUUCUUUUUAAAUCAUGUCCAGUUGACAAGUGCCCAAAACUGCUUUACAAAGCUUCACCUCGUUUGGAAUUUCAGUGGGAUUUACAUGUUUAGACGUAGGUCCGAUGUUCAGAUAUCGGACGUGUAUCUGAUUUAAAACCUCAUAUGGAAGUGACUCAGAACGGAUGCAAAAAAUCGGAUCUUGUGCAGAUUGUUAUGUUUACGAUCUGUGUCACAUGUGAAAGCGGAAGAAGGUUGGCAAGUAGUUGGUAGGCCACUGUUGGGUUAGAGGAACACGGUCCUGAAUCCACAGUUAUGCCAUGUUCAGAUUUCAAGAUGUCCAGACCUACACUACUGUUAAUGGGUGGAGAGGGUGAUGGUCUUUCUCCAGAGCUGUGUCAGAUGUGUGACGUCCUGCUCACUAUCCCUCCGAGCAGGAACCUGCGCCCUGGAGUAUAAUCUCUCAAUGUGUCUGCAGCCACAGGCAUUCUGCUGCACUCUCGUCCGUCCACACACACAGGAAGAAGAAGAUGAUGAUGGCAACAACGACAAGACAGCAGCAUUAUUUACUCAGACGUCUCUCAUUAGCUCCCUACAGUGAUUAAUGACUGGAUUACUUCAUCAAUUAACAGUCUGAGAGUCUGGAGAGGCUCAUUGAUCAGAUAAAGAGAGGCUGUAGAUGCAUUCUGGACCAGUUACUGACUAUGACCACCUUGUUUAAGACAAGACCUUCGCUACACAGGGUCACUGGGGGGAAACAUGCUUUUAGAAACAGAGGUGUAAUUAUUUAUUCUCUUCAUGUCGGAAGUUAGUUCAUGUGCUUUAUUACUGUACACAAUUGCUACAUGCGGAUUAAUUAAAAGUAAUGCUAAUUUUAUUGAUGAUAUUUAUAUUACUUAAAAAAAACUUGAAUGCUCAAUAAUAAUGAACAGUAUUUGAAGCAGCAUGGAUUAAACACUACAACAACACACACAGAACUGUAGGCUAACAUGGCUGUGUGUUGUGGGAUGCAGUAUUUUCACAGUGUAUUGCUUAAAUGUAGGUCAUCCAGGUACUGUAUUUCACGUGUAUGGUGAAAAUGUGUCCCACUUUAAAUUAAGUGGCCUCAACUAUUGUGCAAUAGCAUCAAAUAAUAAGUACAAUGUACUUAUUGUGUUCAUAUUGCAUGCAUAAUUGCCGCUAUUGAGGUGGGAUAUGGGUAAGGUUAGGGACAGGUUUA